rnacentral:rRNA from 1 species
GAUCAUGGCUCAGGAUGAACGCUAGCUACAGGCUUAACACAUGCAAGUCGAGGGGCAUCAGGAAGAAAGCUUGCUUUCUUUGCUGGCGACCGGCGCACGGGUGAGUAACACGUAUCCAACCUACCCUUUACUCGGGGAUAGCCUUUCGAAAGAAAGAUUAAUACCCGAUGGCAUAAUGAUUCCGCAUGGUUUCUAUUAUUAAAGGAUUCGUAAGGAUGGGGAUGCGUUCCAUUAGGUUGUUGGUGAGGG